AACGAACGCUGGCGGCAGGCUUAACACAUGCAAGUCGAACGCCCGAGCAAUCGGGAGUGGCAGACGGGUGAGUAACACGUGGGAACAUACCCUUCGGUUCGGAACAACGUUUGGAAACGAACGCUAAUACCGGAUACGGCUUGAGGGCGAAAGAUUCAUCGCCGAAGGAUUGGCCCGCGUUCGAUUAGCUAGAUGGCGGGGUAACGGCCCACCAUGGCGACGAUCGAUAGCUGGUCUGAGAGGAUGGCCAGCCACAUUGGGACUGAGACACGGCCCAAACUCCUACGGGAGGCAGCAGUGGGGAAUAUUGGACAAUGGGCGCAAGCCUGAUCCAGCCAUGCCGCGUGAGUGAUGACGGCCUUAGGGUUGUAAAGCUCUUUCGCAC
rnacentral:rRNA from 1 species